rnacentral:lncRNA from 1 species
CCACUUUAUCAUCUUCAAUAUACAACUACCUCUGUAAGCACAAAAAAUGGACCAAAUUUAAAAAUGGUAACAACAAAUUGUCUCGAAUAUAUCCAUACGAAACUUCUAUCUUUUUAUCACAACUAUGAAGCCAAACUACAAAAAAAAACGAAGAACAAUGUCAAACUUAAAGCCAUACAAAAUCGAGUCGGAAAUUAACAAAAACUAAAACAAAAUUCAAAUUAAAACCAAUAGAACUCUGAUACAAAACUAAUUGAAAUAGUGUUAAAAAAAAUGAACCGCAAAAUACAUCAAAAAUCAAAUUGAACUCGAAUCUCUCCGGAGUUUGUUAACUACUUGAUUCCGGCCAUGAUCUCGUUUGAAUCCGCAGAGCGCCUCCGCCGCACAGAUCUGUCACCACCAUUACGGAUCGCAUGUUAGAUCUGGAAUCCACCGCUCACCCUUGUUUCAUUAAUAAUCACCUUGCAACUUUUGUGUUUUGUCAAAAUUUGGGAGGAAUAUACAAGGUGUUAUUGUUACUGGGAUGUAAGAUCCAUAGGUUUCCUUUUACAAAAAAGAAGAGAUCAAAGGUUGGGUUGUGUGUUUGUGAAUGAGAGUGAAAUAUUUGUUGAAAAAGGAAGAGAUGAGCGUUCAUAUCGAAUGAGGGAGAGAACAAGUAGUUUUUUCUUCGUUCAUUGUCAUGAGAGAGAAAGUGAGAAAUUGUUUGGUAUCAUUAUUUUCCUUUUUAAUUUUAAUUAAUUGGUUAAUUAUUUAAUCAAAUAAUAAUCGGGGAUUUUAUUUAAUAGCUAAGAUUAAUUCAUUUAAAUUAAUAAUUGGGAUUUCUAAAUUUUUAAAUCCAUGAUUUAAUCUAUGUCAUAAUUCAAUUUAUUUAUUUGUGGUUUGGUUAUUUAAAUUGGGAUUAUCACAUGUAAUUAUUUAUAAUAGUCAUAUUUAAUUAAUUAUGGAUAAAAAUAAGAUUAAUUAAAACAAGAAUACGGGAUAAAAUUAUGGGUAACUACUAGGGUUUUAGGAGAUAAAAUUAGGGAUAAAAUUGGGAUAUUGGGUAUAUCAUGCUGCAUCAUUUAAUUUAUCAUCUUAAUCAAAAAUUAAAUUAUAUUGCUGCAAUCAAAACAAAUGGGAUAAAUAUGGGAUAAAAUGUAGGACAAAAUUCUAGGGUUUUCAAGGGAUAAAAUUCUAGGGUUUUCAAGGGACAAAAUUCUAGGGUUUUCAAGGGAUAAAAUCGGGAAAAUAAAUUAAAUAUUAUAUUCAUAAACAAUUAAGGGAUAAAAUCAAAUUCAACACACUUCAAACUGUAAGUCCUCUACCCUGGAGUAUUGAGGCAUUUUAAAAGUCAAUCACUUCUCUGCCCCCGAUGCGUUAGAUUUUCAAGGGAUAAAAACAACCAACCAACCAACAGUUUUUAAGAAGAACUACGGUGCUCUGAUCCCUCGCCUAAUNNNNNNNNNNNNNNNNNNNNNNNNNNNNNNNNUUAAUAAUCACCUUGCAACUUUUGUGUUUUGUCAAAAUUUGGGAGGAAUAUACAAGGUGUUAUUGUUACUGGGAUGUAAGAUCCAUAGAUUUCCUUUUACAAAAAAGAAGAGAUCGAAGGUUGGGUUGUGUGUUUGUGAAUGAGAGUGAAAUAUUUGUUGAAAAAGGAAGAGAUGAG